rnacentral:rRNA from 1 species
CGCUGGCGGCAUGCCUCAUACAUGCAAGUCGAACGAAAUCUUAGGAUUUAGUGGCGCACGGGUGAGUAACAUGUGGGAAUCUACCUAAAGGUUCGGAAUAACUGCGGGAAACUGUAGCUAAUACCGGAUGUGUCUGCAAAGAGAAAGAUUUAUCGCCUUUAGAUGAGCCCGCACUAGAUUAGCUAGUUGGUGAGGUAAUUGCUCCACCAAGGCUACGAUCUAUAGCUGAUUUGAGAGGAUGAUCAGCCACACUGGGACUGAGACACGGCCCAGACUCCUACGGGAGGCAGCAGUAGGGAAUAUUGGACAAUGGGGGAAACCCUGAUCCAGCAAUGCCGCGUGAGUGAAGAAGGCCUUAGGGUUGUAAAACUCUUUCAUCAACGAUGAUAAUGACAUUAAUUGAAGAAGAAGCUCCGGCUAACUUCGUGCCAGCAGCCGCGGUAAUACGAAGGGGGCUAGCGUUGUUCGGAAUCACUGGGCGUAAAGC